rnacentral:rRNA from 1 species
CCUACGGGAGGCAGCAGUGGGGAAUUUUGGACAAUGGGCGCAAGCCUGAUCCAGCAAUGCCGCGUGCAGGAUGAAGGCCUUCGGGUUGUAAACUGCUUUUGUACGGAACGAAACGGUCUCUCCUAAUACGAGGGGCUAAUGACGGUACCGUAAGAAUAAGCACCGGCUAACUACGUGCCAGCAGCCGCGGUAAUACGUAGGGUGCAAGCGUUAAUCGGAAUUACUGGGCGUAAAGCGUGCGCAGGCGGUUAUAUAAGACAGAUGUGAAAUCCCCGGGCUCAACCUGGGACCUGCAUUUGUGACUGUAUAGCUAGAGUACGGUAGAGGGGGAUGGAAUUCCGCGUGUAGCAGUGAAAUGCGUAGAUAUGCGGAGGAACACCGAUGGCGAAGGCAAUCCCCUGGACCUGUACUGACGCUCAUGCACGAAAGCGUGGGGAGCAAACAGGAUUAGAUACCCGGGUAGUC